rnacentral:rRNA from 1 species
AACGCUAGCUACAGGCUUAACACAUGCAAGUCGAGGGGAAACGACAUCGAAAGCUUGCUUUUGAUGGGCGUCGACCGGCGCACGGGUGAGUAACACGUAUCCAACCUGCCCACCACUUGGGGAUAGCCUUGCGAAAGUAAGACUAAUACCCAAUGAUAUCCCACGAAGGCAUCCGAAUGGGAUUAAAGAUUUAUCGGUGAUGGAUGGGGAUGCGUCUGAUUAGCUUGUUGGCGGGGUAACGGCCCACCAAGGCGACGAUCAGUAGGGGUUCUGAGAGGAAGGUCCCCCACAUUGGAACUGAGACACGGUCCAAACUCCUACGGGAGGCAGCAGUGAGGAAUAUUGGUCAAUGGACGCAAGUCUGAACCAGCCAAGUAGCGUGCAGGACGACGGCCCUAUGGGUUGUAAACUGCUUUAGUGCGGGAAUAAAGUGUGGGACGUGUCCCAUAUUGCAGGUACCGCAAGAAUAAGGACCGGCUAAUUCCGUGCCAGCAGCCGCGGUAAUACGGAAGGUCCGGGCGUUAUCCGGAUUUAUUGGGUUUAAAGGGAGCGUAGGCUGUUUAUUAAGCGUGUUGUGAAAAACCCGUGCUCAACAUGGGUCGUGCAGCGCGAACUGGUGAACUUGAGUGCGGAUGCGGUAUGCGGAAUUUGUGGUGUAGCGGUGAAAUGCUUAGAUAUCACGAAGAACUCCGAUUG